UCUUCGAGAGGAAAAUGAGACCCUUUAAUGUCUGCCAAUCCGUAACGGUGAAAUCAAAAAUUGGCCAUGGUGAAUCUGUCCAUGAACCACUGGAAUAUGGACGUAGAUGCUGGAGCUGCUAAGAAUUAGCAGGACGGAAUCGUGUGAACCUCCAUCGCAAUCAAACAAAAGCUUUUCAAAACGCUUCAAGCUCAAGACAUAUGUCUACUCAGAAUGAAUGAGUGAGCCCUCUAGUGUGGUUCAUGAAUUGUCGCGUCCUCUACUUGUAAUGAUGAAACACCACCUCGAGCAAUGCUCGAGUUCCAUUAACAUCACACAAUGAUACUCACAACAUUGAUUUAGGGUUUACUCAAUGCCAAGUAAAUAAAUAGUCGUCAAGUAACGAUUUUCAUCGCUUACCUUAGUACUCUUACUCAUGUAUUUACGGUCGAUAAAGAGCCUUAUUGUGACCUUUCGAGACAAAUACCCAACACAACUUCGCUUUUACUAGCUCGCAAAAUGAUAAGGAACAGCUUCGAAUUCACUGCUUUAUGUAA